CUGGUAUUGCAGUACUUCCAGGAACG
rnacentral:piRNA from 2 species